rnacentral:rRNA from 1 species
UACGGAGGGUGCAAACGUUGCUCGGAAUCAUUGGGCGUAAAGCGCACGUAGGCGGCCUGUUAAGUCGGGUGUGAAAGCCCUGGGCUCAACCCAGGAAGUGCACUCGAAACUGGCGGGCUUGAAUAUGGAAGAGGGUCGCGGAAUUCCCGGUGUAGAGGUGAAAUUCGUAGAUAUCGGGAGGAACACCAGUGGCGAAGGCGGCGACCUGGGCCGUUACUGACGCUGAGGAGCGAAAGCGUGGGGAGCGAACAGG